rnacentral:rRNA from 1 species
AGUGAACGCUGGCGGCGUGCUUAACACAUGCAAGUCGAACGAGAACGGAUUAUAGCUUGCUAUAAUUGUCAGCUAAGUGGCGCACGGGUGAGUAAUGUAUAGGUAAUAUGCCUCUUACUAAGGGAUAACAAUUGGAAACGUUUGCUAAUACCUUAUACUCCUUAUUAACAUAAGUUAAUAAGGGAAAGAUUUAUUGGUAAGAGAUUAGCCUGUAUUGUAUCAGUUAGUUGGUGGGGUAAUGGCUUACCAAGACUAUGACACAUAACUGGUUUGAGAGGAUAAUCAGUCACACUGGAACUGAUACACGGUCCAGACUCCUACGGGAGGCAGCAGUGGGGAAUAUUGCACAAUGGACGAAAGUCUGAUGCAGCAACGCCGCGUGGAGGAUGACACAUUUCGGUGCGUAAACUCCUUUUAUAUGAGAAGAUAAUGACGGUAUUAUAUGAAUAAGCACCGGCUAACUCCGUGCCAGCCGCCGCCGUAA